GGAUUAGAUACCCUGGUAGUCCACGCCGUAAACGAUGGGUACUAGCUGUAUCGGGUAUUGACCCCCGGUGUGGCGCAGCUAACGCGUUAAGUACCCCGCCUGGGGAGUACGGCCGCAAGGCUAAAACUCAAAGGAAUUGACGGGGGCCCGCACAAGCGGUGGAGCAUGUGGUUUAAUUCGACGCAACGCGCAGAACCUUACCCGGCCUUGACAUCCUAAGAAGGCUCUUGAAAGAGAGCUGUGCCCUUCGGGGAACUUGGUGACAGGUGCUGCAUGGCUGUCGUCAGCUCGUGCCG
rnacentral:rRNA from 1 species